AACCAUGCGCAGACCUCUACAUUGCAAAACACAUUGAGAAAUACAGAAUGACUGGAUAAGAUGAUUCCAUCUCCAUCCUUAUAAAGAGAUGGGUAACUCACGACUGCUCAGCAGAGACGUCCACAUCACCUCUAGAUCUCACAGUGCUCACUUUGCUGUCUGUGACACCAGUUUUUUUUUUGGUUCUGACAAACAAGCUGUGGAAAGGAUGAAGUGUGUUAUGAUCUUUCUGGUGUUGACGCUGGUCGUCAUCAUGGCUGAACCCGGGGAGAGUCAAUAUCCACCUUCGUGUGUCCCGUGCCGACCUCGAGGGAAAUUACUCAGACGGGAAAGAAUCCAAGAUGAAGUGGCCAAAGAUAAACUGAUGAGAUACUAUGAAGACUGAGUCUGUUCUUGAUUUUGAAGAUACAGUUUGAGCUAUAUCUUUGUGCUUUGCAAAGCAAGAAAUAAUUGUAUGAAUAAACAUGAAGCUCUUGAGAUGUAGAGAUUUUAGUCACAGCUCACAUUGAUGUUGAAAAAAGUAAAAUUGCUUGAUAGUGAAAACUAUCCUGCUGAAUAAAGCUGCAUUCCAAAACACCGUCUCUGUGUUGUGGUGUUAUUUAAGUGAACAUGUGCUUGUAAUUUUAUUGGUGAUGAUGAUCAAAAACAUUGUUUUUCAUUUAGUCAGACAUAAAUGUUUGUAUUUAGUAGAUCUAAAUAAUGAGUGUUGGUGUGAUCAGUUUAUUAAAUGAACACUCUUCCUCUUUCUUUCUCUUUCUGAAUGUACUUGUGUCUCUGAUAAAGCAGCACUUUGGAA
rnacentral:lncRNA from 1 species